CUUCUGUUCGCACAGAACAGACUAGAAAAUGAAGUUAAAGGCCAAGCCUUUGUCUCACAAAUCAGAAAACACUUACCGGGUAAGUUUAACUCAGAGCAGCAGCUAGCAUUGAAGCUGCAUGAGUGCAUAACAUUACAUGGGGAAAACUUGAAUGUGAUCAACUCUGUGUACUAAUAAAUAGUUGUUUAAGUUUAGGACCAGUAAUUUUUUUUUUUUUACUAACAAUGUUUUUUACAAAGUCAUUACGUGUUAUGUAGGUGGUUAACUUCUUAUAACUUGUAAUUCAGUACCUCAUCAGUGUACUGUACUGUACAGCUGCUGUAUUUAUACCAUGUUUUCCUUAUUCUCACAUUUACAGUUUCUCACAUUUUCUGAGAGACUUGCAAAUGUGAAUAUCGAUGUGAUCCAUCGGAUUGAUCGACUGGGAGUUACGCUGAGGAGGUAGACACCUACUUUUUUGAAGGGUUAAUGAAAUGGAGGGACCUGAACCUGACAGAUCACUUCACGGCCUUUUCAAGGGAGGUUUCCC
ensembl:lncRNA